GACGAACGCUGGCGGCGUGCUUAACACAUGCAAGUCGAGCGGUAAGGCCCUUUCGGGGGUACACGAGCGGCGAACGGGUGAGUAACACGUGGGUGACCUGCCCUUAGCUCUGGGAUAAGCCUGGGAAACUGGGUCUAAUACCGGAUAUGACUCCAUGACGCAUGUUGUGGGGUGGAAAGCCUUGUGCGGCUAGGGAUGGGCCCGCGGCCUAUCAGCUUGUUGGUGGGGUGAUGGCCUACCAAGGCGACGACGGGUAGCCGGCCUGAGAGGGCGACCGGCCACACUGGGACUGAGACACGGCCCAGACUCCUACGGGAGGCAGCAGUGGGGAAUCUUGCACAAUGGGCGAAAGCCUGACGCAGCGACGCCGCGUGGGGAUGACGGCCU
rnacentral:rRNA from 1 species